rnacentral:tRNA from 1 species
GCCUGUGUAGCUCAGUGGUAGAGCACAUCCUUGGUAAGGAUGAGGUCAUGAGUUCAAUCCUCAUCACAGGCU